rnacentral:rRNA from 1 species
UGGAUCCAGACUUUGAUUAUGGCUCAGGAUGAACGCUAGCUACGGGCUUAACACAUGCAAGUCGAGGGGAAACGAUAGAGAAAGCUUGCUUUUUCUAGGCGUCGACCGGCGCACGGGUGAGUAACGCGUAUCCAACCUGCCCACCACUUGGGAAUAACCUUGCGAAAGUAAGACUAAUACCCAAUGAUAUCUCUAGAAGACAUCUGAAAGAGAUUAAAGAUUUAUCGGUGAUGGAUGGGGAUGCGUCUGAUUAGCUUGUUGGCGGGGUAACGGCCCACCAAGGCGACGAUCAGUAGGGGUUCUGAGAGGAAGGUUCCCCACAUUGGAACUGAGACACGGUCCAAACUCCUACGGGAGGCAGCAGUGAGGAAUAUUGGUCAAUGGGCGAGAGCCUGAACCAGCCAAGUAGCGUGCAGGAUGACGGCCCUAUGGGUUGUAAACUGCUUUUAUAAGGGAAUAAAGUGAGCCUCGUGAGGCUUUUUGCAUGUACCUUAUGAAUAAGGACCGGCUAAUUCCGUGCCAGCAGCCGCGGUAAUACGGAAGGUCCGGGCGUUAUCCGGAUUUAUUGGGUUUAAAGGGAGCGUAGGCCGGAGAUUAAGCGUGUUGUGAAAUGUAGAUGCUCAACAUCUGCACUGCAGCGCGAACUGGUUUCCUUGAGUACGCACAAAGUGGGCGGAAUUCGUGGUGUAGCGGUGAAAUGCUUAGAUAUCACGAAGAACUCCGAUUGCGAAGGCAGCUCACUGGAGCGCAACUGACGCUGAAGCUCGAAAGUGCGGGUAUCGAACAGGAUUAGAUACCCUGGUAGUCCGCACGGUAAACGAUGGAUGCCCGCUGUUGGUCUGAAUAGGUCAGCGGCCAAGCGAAAGCAUUAAGCAUCCCACCUGGGGAGUACGCCGGCAACGGUGCAACUCAAAUGAAUUGACGGA